rnacentral:rRNA from 1 species
UCCUACGGGAGGCAGCAGUGGGGAAUUUUGGACAAUGGGGGCAACCCUGAUCCAGCCAUGCCGCGUGAGUGAAGAAGGCCUUCGGGUUGUAAAGCUCUUUCGGCCGGGAAGAAAUCGCACAGGCUAAUACUCUGUGUGGAUGACGGUACCGGCAUAAGAAGCACCGGCUAACUACGUGCCAGCAGCCGCGGUAAUACGUAGGGUGCGAGCGUUAAUCGGAAUUACUGGGCGUAAAGCGUGCGCAGGCGGUUAGAUAAGUUUGAUGUGAAAUCCCCGGGCUCAACCUGGGAACUGCAUUGAAGACUGUCUGACUAGAGUACGGCAGAGGGGGGUGGAAUUCCACGUGUAGCAGUGAAAUGCGUAGAGAUGUGGAGGAACACCGAUGGCGAAGGCAGCCCCCUGGGCCGAUACUGACGCUCAUGCACGAAAGCGUGGGGAGCAAACAGGAUUAGAUACCCUUGUAGUCACG